rnacentral:rRNA from 1 species
GGAAUCUUCCACAAUGGGCGCAAGCCUGAUGGAGCAACACCGCGUGAGUGAAGAAGGGUUUCGGCUCGUAAAGCUCUGUUGUUAAAGAAGAACACGUAUGAGAGUAACUGUUCAUACGUUGACGGUAUUUAACCAGAAAGCCACGGCUAACUACGUGCCAA